rnacentral:lncRNA from 10 species
GGACUUUCCUUCUUUCCAUGAGUGACUAUUUUUCUCUAGUGCCUGGGCUCCUCAGGAAGACAGUGGUCAGUUGAGUCCUUGCCAAGCCAGGCUGGCUUCGAGGAGGAGUGAUUGAGGCGAUUGUUUUCAGUGGCUUUGCGACAAGAUCCCACAUUCAGCCUGAUAAUGCAGACUCUUUCAAGCCAUCUUCCUGGCCCCACGGACAGCCCUGUGGACUUUAAGCUCCAGUGCCAGAUGGAAAGACAACAGCCUUGGGAGACUGCUUAACAAGCUCCCCAAAGGGUCAGAGCCUGGAAACAAUGUUCCUUCAAUCCUUUGCCAGCAGGGAUCUUCUUUAGUUUCUGCCAAUAAGGGCCACUGGUGUAAAAUUUGGAAACCAGACAAAGAGAAGCUGACUUUUGGCAAUGGCGUGAGACAUGGGCAUCAAUAAAGGCUGGGUGAGCUCUGCCAGUGGCUUUCAGGCGUGAGUCAUCUGUUCACACAGUUGAGAUCUGCAGUGGCUGUCCCUGCAGUCUCCACUUCCUGGAUUCCUGAAUGCUUCCGAAGCUUCCCUGACCUUGACUCUCUCCCCAACAGCUUCGUAAGCCUGUAAUCUCCUGCAUUAAUCUCCUCUCCAUUGAAGGACCUGGAGGGUUUCCAUUUUCCCAGGCAAACCCUGUCUGAGACGUAUCCCCACUAGCACUGCAUAAGAGCUCCCAGGGCCCCACCUCCUCACCACACAGUGCUUGUCAACCCUUCGGUCAGUUGCGGAAGUGAACAAUAGUAUCUCGUUGUAGUUUUAGUUUCAGAAUUGUGCGUGUAGAAUUGAUGUUUUGUUUGUAUGUUUAACAGCCAUUUGUAUUUUCUUUUUUAUAAACCAGGUUCGUAUCCUUUGAUUAUUUUUCUGUUGUGUUAUUGAUGGGUGUUGUCACCUACAUGGAUCAUACCUGUUAGCACACUUAAAAAUUUUUUUAAAAAAUAUCUUUUUAAAAAAUUAAUAAGAAAUAGCACUGUAUGACAUAAAUGGCAAAACUUUUCUCUGGUUUUCAGUUUGUCUUUUGACUUACUUUAUAUGUACUUCUUGACAUGAAGAUUAAAACAUUUUCAUGUAAUCCAACGUUUUUUCUUUUAUGGAUUUCUUUUUUUUUUGGAGACAGAGUCUCACCCUGUGGCCCAGGCUGGAGUGCAGUGGUAUGAUCUCGGCUCACUGCAACCUCUACUUCCCAGGUUCAAGCGAUUCUCA